rnacentral:rRNA from 1 species
UGGGGAAUAUUGCACAAUGGGCGCAAGCCUGAUGCAGCCAUGCCGCGUGUAUGAAGAAGGCCUUCGGGUUGUAAAGUACUUUCAGCGGGGAGGAAGGCGAUAAGGUUAAUAACCUUGUCGAUUCACGUUACCCGCAGAAGAAGCACCGGCUAACUCCGUGCCAGCAGCCGCGGUAAUACGGAGGGUGCAAGCGUUAAUCGGAAUUACUGGGCGUAAAGCGCACGCAGGCGGUCUGUCAAGUCGGAUGUGAAAUCCCCGGGCUCAACCUGGGAACUGCAUUCGAAACUGGCAGGCUAGAGUCUUGUAGAGGGGGGUAGAAUUCCAGGUGUAGCGGUGAAAUGCGUAGAGAUCUGGAGGAAUACCGGUGGCGAAGGCGGCCCCCUGGACAAAGACUGACGCUCAGGUGCGAAAGCGUGGGGAGCAAACA